UACAGAGGUCUCAAGCGUUGUUCGGAUUCAUUGGGCGUAAAGGGUGCGUAGGCGGCGCGGUAAGUCGGGUGUGAAAUUUCGAGGCUUAACUUCGAAACUGCAUUCGAUACUGCCGUGCUUGAGGACUGGAGAGGAGACUGGAAUUUACGGUGUAGCGGUGAAAUGCGUAGAUAUCGUAAGGAAGACCAGUGGCGAAGGCGGGUCUCUGGACAGUUCCUGACGCUGAGGCACGAAGGCCAGGGGAGCAAGCGGG
rnacentral:rRNA from 1 species